UGGCAGGUACCGCCGGGUUCGAAAACUCUAAUUUAACGUUUUCGAUUUGAUCAUGUGUGGGUGAAUACACGAAUAAAUUCGGCUCGAUAAAUAUUGCUGUAAAUGGUGAAAAACUUCAUAUAAUUAGAUAAAAGUUAUACUAAGGUGAAGUUCAAAAAUAAUCUUGCAUCUUAAAUAAAAAUUUUUGUGCAAUAUCGGUGAAAUUUCAAUAAUAAAGUGAAAGUACACAACUAAGAAACCGAUAAUUCUGUGGCAAGUUAAAAAACGGAGAUAAAUUGACAUCAUAGACCUAAUAUCAAAUGGACAGGCCUUAGAGAGAAAUUCUGGCAUGCCGCAUAUGAAAGAGAGAGAUGGAGCUAGAUGAGUCAACGUCAAAAUCAUAUGAUCAAAACAUUGAACUCACAUUCAGAAGAUCGCUAAUUUUUCUCUCAUUCUGAAUUGAACACAUAGUUAAUCUGAUUGAUUCGAUUUGUAAAAGUGUUGAACAUUCUAAUAAAAGGAAUUAGCGAAUCCAUCUGCUGUUGCGAAAUUCAAAGCACCAAAAGAACUAUUUUUCAAAUAAAAUGCCUCACACUCGUGCAGCCUUCAAUUGUACAGCGAGAUUAGAAAAAAGCCAAAAGUUGAAAUUUCAUUCGUAAGUAUUUAUUUCUUUUAAUACCCUCUGAAUUCAUACAUAAAGGAAAUAUCAGUUCACAGUUUUCCAAAGGAUGACAAAUUAAGGGAACAGUGGAUGAAAGCUGAAGAAUAAUUGAUUUCAACCCAUUUUCCUUGUUGGAAAUAUGCAGCAACCGUUUUCAUCAACAUGAUUUAUUAAUAUUCAUGGUACAAAAAUUCUGAAAAAAGAUGUUAUUCCUUCAGUUUUCAGUUUCUCCAAUUAUAUUCCUGGGAGAUUAAAUUAUGGAGAUAAAUGUCGUGAAGAUAAUAUAGAAGGUACAUUAAUAUUUUAUUUUUUAAGGAUGUGAAAUAUCUACUUAUUUUCCGUCCCUUAUUUUAUUCAUUCAUAUAAAUAAUUAUUGCAAAAGAAAUUGAACAGGACCAGACAGAGACAAAACAGCAAGAGAUGGGGCAACCAGAGACGGUACAACUGUUUAUAAUAUCAAAAUCCUCUGCUGCUGCCAUGGAAGAUUUUUCCCCCAGAUUGAAUACUUAUAUUAGAAAUACUAGAAAUUAGAAACCUGGGAAUGAGGAUUUCAAAGAAUGGAACACUAGACGAAGUAAUAUCUGAGAGAAACAUCCAAAGAAAACCAAUAAUCUCAAUGUUAAAUAGGAUAUUAUCGAUUAAAAACAUAAAUGUGCAUAAUAAGAAAAUAAUUCACUCAAUAGUUAGGACAUAAUAACAUACAGCUCUGAAGUGAACAGCAGCUGGAAAAUCUGAAAGAGACAUGAUACCAAAUGAUACAAUAAGACAUAGAAUGGAAAUAAGACAUGAUAUUAUUGAUCUUAAGAACACAACAGUUGGUUUGGUACAGACAAGUCCAUAAAUACUUGUGAUACUAGGUGUGAUUUAAACAAGAAUAAUUUUGAAAUUUUCAGUUUUUUAGAUUGCCAUACUAAAUGAGGAACAUAUUCUGUGCCGUGGCUUAAAAAUUCAUCUUUAGAGAAGCUCAUUCACUGAAAGGCUGAAAAUGGGUAUCUUGAAUUGUUAUUUAGUUGAAAAUUACUUUCAACGUAUGAGAACAACAACUUAUAACGUUAUGAUAUGUAUUUUUCAGGAAAAAUGAAUGUAUCAUAACUGAUCCUUGGAGAGAUAAGGAGAAGAAGAUUAAUUUCAAGAUUUGGAGGAGUUUAGAACUAAAAAUCCUGAAAUUUUUCAAUAUCCUGGAUAUUAAAUGAUUGGAAGAGUGAAUAUCCUCCUUAGUGGAGAGUGAAAAAUCCGACUCGAAGAUGUUCUUCCACAUGCGCUGAUAGGCUAAGUCGGACCAUUUUUUUAAAUCAUUUAUUGUAAUAAUGUAUUUUGAACAGCAAUAAAAACUUAAUGAAUACAAUUCUUCAUAGACUUUCUUUUUUUCCAUUGCCUGUAUUAUUUGGAAACAAUUUUCUGAAAGAUUUUACUAUUAUCAAAUUGAUAAGUGACUUGAACUAAACUAGUUGGAAGUAAUACAA